rnacentral:rRNA from 1 species
ACUAAGCGUACACGGUGGAUGCCCUGGCAGUCAGAGGCGAUGAAGGACGUGCUAAUCUGCGAUAAGCGUCGGUAAGGUGAUAUGAACCGUUAUAACCGGCGAUUUCCGAAUGGGGAAACCCAGUGUGAUUCGUCACACUAUCAUUAACUGAAUCCAUAGGUUAAUGAGGCGAACCGGGGGAACUGAAACAUCUAAGUACCCCGAGGAAAAGAAAUCAACCGAGAUUCCCCAGUAGCGGCGAGCGAACGGGGAGCAGCCCAGAGCCUGAAUCAGUGUGUGUGUUAGUGGAAGCGUCUGGAAAGGCGCGCGAUACAGGGUGACAGCCCCGUACACAAAAAUGCACAUGCUGUGAGCUCGAUGAGUAGGGCGGGACACGUGGUAUCCUGUCUGAAUAUGGGGGACCAUCCUCCAAGGCUAAAUACUCCUGACUGACCGAUAGUGAACCAGUACCGUGAGGGAAAGGCGAAAAGAACCCCGGCGAGGGGAGUGAAAAAGAACCUGAAACCGUGUACGUACAAGCAGUGGGAGCACGCUUAGGCGUGUGACUGCGUACCUUUUGUAUAAUGGGUCAGCGACUUAUAUUCUGUAGCAAGGUUAACCGAAUAGGGGAGCCGAAGGGAAACCGAGUCUUAACUGGGCGUUAAGUUGCAGGGUAUAGACCCGAAACCCGGUGAUCUAGCCAUGGGCAGGUUGAAGGUUGGGUAACACUAACUGGAGGACCGAACCGACUAAUGUUGAAAAAUUAGCGGAUGACUUGUGGCUGGGGGUGAAAGGCCAAUCAAACCGGGAGAUAGCUGGUUCUCCCCGAAAGCUAUUUAGGUAGCGCCUCGUGAAUUCAUCUCCGGGGUAGAGCACUGUUUCGGCAAGGGGGUCAUCCCGACUUACCAACCCGAUGCAAACUGCGAAUACCGGAGAAUGUUAUCACGGGAGACACACGGCGGGUGCUAACGUCCGUCGUGAAGAGGGAAACAACCCAGACCGCCAGCUAAGGUCCCAAAGUCAUGGUUAAGUGGGAAACGAUGUGGGAAGGCCCAGACAGCCAGGAUGUUGGCUUAGAAGCAGCCAUCAUUUAAAGAAAGCGUAAUAGCUCACUGGUCGAGUCGGCCUGCGCGGAAGAUGUAACGGGGCUAAACCAUGCACCGAAGCUGCGGCAGCGACACUGUGUGUUGUUGGGUAGGGGAGCGUUCUGUAAGCCUGCGAAGGUGUGCUGUGAGGCAUGCUGGAGGUAUCAGAAGUGCGAAUGCUGACAUAAGUAACGAUAAAGCGGGUGAAAAGCCCGCUCGCCGGAAGACCAAGGGUUCCUGUCCAACGUUAAUCGGGGCAGGGUGAGUCGACCCCUAAGGCGAGGCCGAAAGGCGUAGUCGAUGGGAAACAGGUUAAUAUUCCUGUACUUGGUGUUACUGCGAAGGGGGACGGAGAAGGCUAUGUUGGCCGGGCGACGGUUGUCCCGGUUUAAGCGUGUAGGCUGGUUUUCCAGGCAAAUCCGGAAAAUCAAGGCUGAGGCGUGAUGACGAGGCACUACGGUGCUGAAGCAACAAAUGCCCUGCUUCCAGGAAAAGCCUCUAAGCAUCAGGUAACAUCAAAUCGUACCCCAAACCGACACAGGUGGUCAGGUAGAGAAUACCAAGGCGCUUGAGAGAACUCGGGUGAAGGAACUAGGCAAAAUGGUGCCGUAACUUCGGGAGAAGGCACGCUGAUACGUAGGUGAAGUCCCUCGCGGAUGGAGCUGAAAUCAGUCGAAGAUACCAGCUGGCUGCAACUGUUUAUUAAAAACACAGCACUGUGCAAACACGAAAGUGGACGUAUACGGUGUGACGCCUGCCCGGUGCCGGAAGGUUAAUUGAUGGGGUCAGCGCAAGCGAAGCUCUUGAUCGAAGCCCCGGUAAACGGCGGCCGUAACUAUAACGGUCCUAAGGUAGCGAAAUUCCUUGUCGGGUAAGUUCCGACCUGCACGAAUGGCGUAAUGAUGGCCAGGCUGUCUCCACCCGAGACUCAGUGAAAUUGAACUCGCUGUGAAGAUGCAGUGUACCCGCGGCAAGACGGAAAGACCCCGUGAACCUUUACUAUAGCUUGACACUGAACAUUGAGCCUUGAUGUGUAGGAUAGGUGGGAGGCUUUGAAGUGUGGACGCCAGUCUGCAUGGAGCCGACCUUGAAAUACCACCCUUUAAUGUUUGAUGUUCUAACGUUGACCCGUAAUCCGGGUUGCGGACAGUGUCUGGUGGGUAGUUUGACUGGGGCGGUCUCCUCCUAAAGAGUAACGGAGGAGCACGAAGGUUGGCUAAUCCUGGUCGGACAUCAGGAGGUUAGUGCAAUGGCAUAAGCCAGCUUGACUGCGAGCGUGACGGCGCGAGCAGGUGCGAAAGCAGGUCAUAGUGAUCCGGUGGUUCUGAAUGGAAGGGCCAUCGCUCAACGGAUAAAAGGUACUCCGGGGAUAACAGGCUGAUACCGCCCAAGAGUUCAUAUCGACGGCGGUGUUUGGCACCUCGAUGUCGGCUCAUCACAUCCUGGGGCUGAAGUAGGUCCCAAGGGUAUGGCUGUUCGCCAUUUAAAGUGGUACGCGAGCUGGGUUUAGAACGUCGUGAGACAGUUCGGUCCCUAUCUGCCGUGGGCGCUGGAGAACUGAGGGGGGCUGCUCCUAGUACGAGAGGACCGGAGUGGACGCAUCACUGGUGUUCGGGUUGUCAUGCCAAUGGCACUGCCCGGUAGCUAAAUGCGGAAGAGAUAAGUGCUGAAAGCAUCUAAGCACGAAACUUGCCCCGAGAUGAGUUCUCCCUGACUCCUUGAGAGUCCUGAAGGAACGUUGAAGACGACGACGUUGAUAGGCCGGGUGUGUAAGCGCAGCGAUGCGUUGAGCUAACCGGUACUAAUGAACCGUGAGGCUUAACC